rnacentral:rRNA from 1 species
GAUGAACGCUGGCGGCGUGCCUAAUACAUGCAAGUCGAGCGAACAGACGAGGAGCUUGCUCCUCUGGCGUUAGCGGCGGACGGGUGGGUAACACGUGGAUAACCUACCUAUAAGACUGGGAUAACUUCGGGAAACCGGAGCUAAUACCGGAUAAUAUAUUGAACCGCAUGGUUCAAUAGUGAAAGACGGUUUUGCUGUCACUUAUAGAUGGAUCCGCGCCGCAUUAGCUAGUUGGUAAGGUAACGGCUUACCAAGGCAACGAUGCGUAGCCGACCUGAGAGGGUGAUCGGCCACACUGGAACUGAGACACGGUCCAGACUCCUACGGGAGGCAGCAGUAGGGAAUCUUCCGCAAUGGGCGAAAGCCUGACGGAGCAACGCCGCGUGAGUGAUGAAGGUCUUCGGAUCGUAAAACUCUGUUAUUAGGGAAGAACAAAUGUGUAUGUAACUAUGCACGUCUUGACGGUACCUAAUCAGAAAGCCACGGCUAACUACGUG